AUAUAAGAUUUAGCCUGCCCACUGAGUAAUUUAAUGGCCGCAGUAUUUUGACUGUGCAAAGGUAGCAUAAUAAUUAGUUUUUUAAUUGAAAGCUGGAAUGAAUGGCUGGACGAGAAAAUUUCUGUCUCUUAUUAAUUUUGAAUAAAAUUUUAUUUUUAAGUAAAAAAGCUUAAAUUAUUAUAAAAGACGAGAAGACCCUAUAGAGUUUUAUAUUUAUAUAAAAAUAUAAUUUUAAGAAUUUAAUUUUAGUUUUUAUGUAAAUAUUUUAUUGGGGUGAUAGAAAGAUUAAUUAAACUCUUUUUUUAUUUUUACAUUUAUAUAUGAUUAUUUGAUCCAUUUUUAUGAUUACAAGAAUAAAUUACCUUAGGGAUAACAGCGUAAUCUUUUUAGAGAGUUCUUAUCGAAACAAGGGAUUGCGACCUCGAUGUUGGAUUAAAAUUAAUUUUUGGUGUAGAAGCUAGAAAAUUGAGUCUGUUCGACUUUUAAAAUUUUACAUGAUCUGAGUUUAAACCGGUGUGAGCCAGGUUGGUUUCUAUCUUUAUUAAGUUAAAAUAUUUUAGUACGAAAGGACCAA
rnacentral:rRNA from 1 species